rnacentral:rRNA from 1 species
UACGUAGGUGACAAGCGUUGUCCGGAUUUACUGGGCGUAAAGAGCGCGCAGGCGGUCGAUCAAGUCGGAUGUGAAAGCCCCCGGCUCAACUGGGGAGGGUCAUUCGAUACUGGUCGACUCGAAGGCAGGAGAGGGAAGCGGAAUUCCCGGUGUAGUGGUGAAAUGCGUAGAUAUCGGGAGGAACACCAGUGGCGAAGGCGGCUUCCUGGCCUGUUCUUGACGCUGAGGCGCGAAAGCUAGGGGAGCAAACGGG